GCUUAACACAUGCAAGUCGAACGAACCUUCGGGUUAGUGGCGGACGGGUGAGUAACGCGUGAGAAUCUGCCCUCAGGAGGGGGAUAACGGCUGGAAACGGCCGCUAAUACCCCAUAUGCCGCGAGGUGAAAUGAAUUUCGCCUGAGGAUGAGCUCGCGUCUGAUUAGCUAGUUGGUGGGGUAAAGGCCUACCAAGGCAUCGAUCAGUAGCUGGUCUGAGAGGAUGAUCAGCCACACUGGGACUGAGACACGGCCCAGACUCCUACGGGAGGCAGCAGUGGGGAAUUUUCCGCAAUGGGCGAAAGCCUGACGGAGCAACGCCGCGUGAGGGAUGAAGGCCUCUGGGCUGUAAACCUCUUUUAUCAAGGAAGAAGAUCUGACGGUACUUGAUGAAUAAGCCACGGCUAAUUCCGUGCCAGCAGCCGCGGUAAUA
rnacentral:rRNA from 1 species